AACGAACGCUGGCGGCAGGCCUAACACAUGCAAGUCGAACGAGAAGCCAGAGCUUGCUCUGGUGGAGAGUGGCAGACGGGUGAGUAACGCGUGGGAAUUUGCCUUUCGGUGCAGGAUAACUCAUGGAAACGUGAGCUAAUACUGCAUACGCCCUUCGGGGGAAAGAUUUAUCGCCGAAAGAUGAGCCCGCGUUGGAUUAGCUUGUUGGUGGGGUAAAAGCCUACCAAGGCGACGAUCCAUAGCUGGUCUGAGAGGAUGAUCAGCCACACUGGAACUGAGACACGGUCCAG
rnacentral:rRNA from 1 species